UACGUAGGCAGCAAGCGUUGUUCGGAGUUACUGGGCGUAAAGAGUGCGUAGGUGGUGCCCUAAGUCUGUUGUGAAAUCUCCCGGCUUAACUGGGAGGGUGCGGUGGAAACUGGGGUGCUUGAGUGUGGGAGAGGUAAGCGGAAUUCCUGGUGUAGCGGUGAAAUGCGCAGAUAUCGGGAGGAACACCGGUGGCGAAGGCGGCCACCUGGACGGAUACUGACGCUGAGACGCGAAAGCGUGGGGAGCAAACAGG
rnacentral:rRNA from 1 species